ensembl:snRNA U1 U1 spliceosomal RNA
UUAACUACCUGACAAGGGAUCAUGGAAGUGGUUUUCCCAGGGCAAGCCUUAUCCAUUGCACUUCAGAUGUGCUGACCCCUGCAGUUUCCCCAAAUGUGGGAAACUCGACUACAUAAUUUGUGGUAGUAGGGGACUGCGUUCAUGCUCUCCCCUA